rnacentral:snRNA from 14 species
GUGUCACUUCAUCAGCACAUAGACUAAGACCAGAAGGACACAGAGGUUAGCAUGACCCUAUAUAGGAUGACAUGCAGAUUCGUGAGGUGGUCCAUAUUUUU